rfam:Planctomycetes bacterium GWB2_41_19 gwb2_scaffold_9455, whole genome shotgun sequence.
UUACGAUAAAGGCGAACCUAAAGCAAUCGGGGGGACGCAAAGUAAAGUGUCUUUAAAAGAUCAAGAAGUAUCAGGGAAAGACAGCCUUACUGCCGAA